GGAUUCCCCUAGUAACGGCGAGUGAAGCGGGAAGAGCUCAAGCUUGAAAUCUCCGCACAAGUUUUGUGUGGCGAAUUGUAGUCUAUAGAAGCGAUGUCAGCAUAGCUGCUCUAGUCAAGUUCCUUGGAAAAGGACAGCAUGGAGGGUUAUACUCCCGUCAUUGCUGGAGCAUGCUGUGUGUACGACACGUUUUCUUUGAGUCGCGUUGUUUGGGAAUGCAGCGCAAAGUAGGUGGUAAAUUCCAUCUAAAGCUAAAUAUAAGUGCGAGACCGAUAGCGAACAAGUACCGUGAGGGAAAGAUGAAAAGAACUUUGAAAAGAGAGUUAAAGAGUACCUGAAACUGCUGAAAGGGAAGCGAAUCGUAUCCAGUGUCUAUAAUCCGCAACAUAUUACAAUGAUGUGUUUUUGCUUUCCGCGUGUAGGUAGUAGCCUUGGUUGCACCUUGCGUGGAUUGGUUGAGACAUAUCGUUGCCCUGUGUUGUGGUGGGACGUCAAAGUCAGUUUGUACGUCGCAGGAAAUGAUKGACGAGGAAGAUAGGUUUGCUGCUUGCAGCGUUCCAUUAUAUCCUUGUCGAUGUCUGCUGUGACGGAGACUGAGGUGUCUUUAACAUGCUCUCGAGUCUAUUAGACAUUCACUUGGUUGAGUGCGUAGAUAGCUUGCUAUGUACGUGKUUAUACAGGGUGAUUGUGUUUGGUAGUAACUUGUUGCUGUUCGGGACUUUGGCGAAAUGGAGCGAUUCGGCCCGUCUUGAAACACGGACCAAGGAGUCUAACAUGUGUGCAAGUAUUUGGGUGUUGAAACCCCAGUGCGUAAUGAAAGUAAAGGGUAAUGUAGAUUGCCUUAGGUAGGAAAGCGCUGUAUGGUGCUGGCACUAUCGACCGAUCAUGAACCUUCGUGGUGAAAGAUUUGAGUUUGAGCACAUAUGUUGGUACC
rnacentral:rRNA from 1 species